AUUGAACGCUGGCGGCAGGCCUAACACAUGCAAGUCGAGCGGAUGAAGGGAGCUUGCUCCUGGAUUCAGCGGCGGACGGGUGAGUAAUGCCUAGGAAUCUGCCUGGUAGUGGGGGAUAACGUCCGGAAACGGGCGCUAAUACCGCAUACGUCCUGAGGGAGAAAGUGGGGGAUCUUCGGACCUCACGCUAUCAGAUGAGCCUAGGUCGGAUUAGCUAGUUGGUGGGGUAAAGGCCUACCAAGGCGACGAUCCGUAACUGGUCUGAGAGGAUGAUCAGUCACACUGGAACUGAGACACGGUCCAGACUCCUACGGGAGGCAGCAGUGGGGAAUAUUGGACAAUGGGCGAAAGCCUGAGACAGCCAUGCCGCGUGUGUGAAGAAGGUCUUCGGAUUGUAAAGCACUUUAAGUUGGGAGGAAGAGCAGUAAGAUAAUACCUUGCUGUUUUGACGUUACCAACAGAAUAAGCACCGGCUAACUUCGUG
rnacentral:rRNA from 1 species